CUACCACUCACCACCUCCACCGGUGAAAUCUCCACCACCACCAUACUAUUACCACUCACCACCUCCUCCGGUGAAGUCUCCUCCACCACCAUACUACUAUCACUCUCCACCACCACCGGUGAAAUCUCCUCCUCCUUACUAUUAUCAUUCUCCACCUCCUCCGGUGAAAUCUCCUCCACCACCGUACUACUACCAUUCUCCACCUCCUCCAGUCAAGUCUCCACCACCACCGUACUACUAUCAUUCACCACCUCCUCCGGUGAAAUCUCCACCACCACCAUACUAUUACCACUCACCACCCCCACCUGUGAAAUCUCCUCCUCCACCAUACUACUAUCACUCACCUCCUCCUCCGGUGAAAUCUCCACCACCACCAUACUAUUACCAUUCACCACCCCCUCCAGUCAAAUCUCCUCCUCCACCAUACUACUACCACUCACCACCUCCUCCAGUGAAAUCUCCACCACCACCAUACUAUUACAACUCUCCACCACCACCGGUGAAAUCUCCUCCACCUCCAGUCUACAUCUACGCUUCUCCCCCACCUCCCACCCAUUACUAGGCUCAUCAAAUUCAACCAAAUUUCCCCAUUAUUCAAG
rnacentral:lncRNA from 1 species